rnacentral:rRNA from 1 species
UACGUAGGGCGCGAGCGUUGUCCGGAAUUAUUGGGCGUAAAGAGCUCGUAGGCGGCCGGUUGCGUCUGCCUGUGAAAUCCCGGGGCUUAACCCCGGGCGUGCAGUGGAUACGGGCCGGCUGGAGGCAGGCAGGGAGAAUGGAAUUCCCGGUGUAGCGGUGAAAUGCGCAGAUAUCAGGAGGAACACCCGUGGCGAAAGCGGCUCUCUGGGACGGUACUGACGCUGAGACGCGAAAGCGUGGGGGAGCAAACAGG